CAACUUUUAACAACGGAUCUCUUGGUUCUCGCAUCGAUGAAGAACGUAGCAAAGUGCGAUAACUAGUGUGAAUUGCAUAUUCAGUGAAUCAUCGAGUCUUUGAACGCAUCUUGCACUCAUUGGUAUUCCAAUGAGUACGCCUGUUUCAGUAUCA
rnacentral:rRNA from 2 species